GGAUUUCCCUAGUAACGGCGAGCGAACCGGAAAGAGCCCAGCUUGAAAAUCGGGGCGCCUCGCGCCCCGAAUUGUAGUCUGGAGAAGGUCCCUCUGCGGCGCGCCGGACCCAAGUUCCCUGGAAAGGGACGUCUUAGAGGGUGAAAACCCCGUGCGAGUCCGGGACUUUGCCGCUCCACGAGAACCUGUCUGCGAGUCGGACUGUUUGGGAAUGCAGUCCUAAGCGGGUGGUAAAUUCCAUCCAAGGCUAAAUAUUGGCAAGAGACCGAUAGCGAACAAGUACCGCGAGGGAAAGAUGAAAAGGACUUUGAAAAGAGAGUUAAAAGUGCUUGAAAUUGCUGGGAGGGAAGCGAAUGGAAGCUGCGGGUGCGCCCCGGUUGGAUGUGGAACGGCCCUCGGGCUGGUCCGCCGCUCAACGCGGGGCGCUGGUCAGCGUGGGCUGCCGCGGCGGGACAAGUGCGGGAAACCGUUUCCCGCCCCAUGCCGUUGCGGCGGCCGAGGAACGAAGCGCGCGCCCCCCCCUU
rnacentral:rRNA from 1 species